AUUGAACGCUGGCGGCAGGCUUAACACAUGCAAGUCGAGCGAGUGGCGGACGGGUGAGUAAUGUCUGGGAAACUGCCUGAUGGAGGGGGAUAACUACUGGAAACGGUAGCUAAUACCGCAUACCAUCAGAUGUGCCCAGAUGGGAUUAGCUGGUUGGUGGGGUAAUGGCUCACCAAGGCGACGAUCCCUAGCUGGGCUGCGAGGAUGACCAGCCACACGGGAACUGAGACACGGUCCAGACUCCUACGGGAGGCAGCAGUGGGGAAUAUUGCACAAUGGGGGCAAGCCUGAUGCAGCCAUGCCGCGUGUAUGAAGAAGGCCUUCGGGUUGUAAAGCACUUUCAGCGGGGAGGCGUUACUCGCAGAAGAAGCACCGGCUAACUCCGUGCCAGCAGCCGCGGUAAUUC
rnacentral:rRNA from 1 species